GUUGCUCAGUGGACCAGCCACGCUUUCACAGUACAUCAGCUUGCGAAUAACAAUUUAUUUUUGUGUCAAGAACAACUAUAAAGUUUAGUCAUGAGUCCGAUCCCAUCAACAUCUGCAGCAGCAUCGACAUCAAGCUCAGCACCAGGAACUAGUACUAAUCCUGCUUCUGAUGAUGACCUUGACACCAGCUUCAGUAAUACAGAUCAUGUAAACCUARUGGAUGAAAGCUUUCAGCCGGGAACAAGCUCAAGCUCAACAUCAUCUGACUCGGAAGAGGAAGCGACUGCACAGGGCCGGCAAGAGCCAAAGUGUCUAGUCUAUGAGUCCAYGGUCAUGGAGCUCACYAAGUUCUGCCAGACCAGCUYCKAUUGCCCAACACAAGKCGAGGUUCACCAGCUGAAGAACAUUCAGGACAAUGCCUGGAACAUUCAGCAAACACAAGAUCCAUGUUUAGUUAUGAUGUUGUAGUAUAAUAUAGAAUGCCUAGUAUGCUCACAACUGCAUUGUGGUCUAGAUAUUGCUAGCUGUUGUACAUACAGCGAGAAUACAAAACAUUAAGAA